GCUGGAAUGAAAAAUUAUGAAAUGAAAAAAAAUGAGUACAGCGCAUAUGUAAACCAAUAAAUUAAAAAACUCUAGCUAAAUUAGGUUUAGCAUGAAAUUCUGUUUUUGUCAAGGUUUAGUUAAGGAUGUAUUCUUCUGACGUUUCAGUCUCCUUGAAAUCUCGUUCUGGAAUUAUUUCCUUAAUAUGUGAUACACGUGGAA
rnacentral:lncRNA from 1 species